rnacentral:rRNA from 1 species
GACGAACGCUGGCGGCGUGCUUAACACAUGCAAGUCGAACGGAAAGGCCCUGCUUUUGUGGGGUGCUCGAGUGGCGAACGGGGGAGUAACACGUGAGUAACCUGCCCUUGACUUUGGGAUAACUUCAGGAAACUGGGGCGAAUACCGGAUAGGAGCUCCUGCUGCAUGGGGGGGGUUGGAAAGUUUCGGCGGUUGGGGAUGGACUCGCGGCUUAUCAGCUUGUUGGUGGGGUAGUGGCUUACCAAGGCUUUGACGGGUAGCCGGCCUGAGAGGGUGACCGGCCACAUUGGGACUGAGAUACGGCCCAGACUCCUACCGGCGGCAGCAGUGGGGAAUAUUGCACAAUGGGCGGAAGCCUGAUGCAGCAACGCCGCGUGCGGGAUGACGGCCUUCGGGUUGUAAACCGCUUUCGCCUGUGACGAAGCGUGAGUGACGGUAAUGGGUAAAGAAGCACCGGCUAACUACGUG